rnacentral:lncRNA from 1 species
GCGGCGAGGACUAAAAAAGUGUAUUAAGUGAUAAAAGACGAUUUAAAAAUAUAUACACGCUUUAAAAUGGAUAAAAAGUGUGGUGAGAGUGACUAUACUAGUACAUAAAUGUUCAAUCAGUAGACUGUGAUGUGACUUAAAACUUUGCGAUUAAAAAGAUAAAAUUGGUGCUCAGGUGAUUCGUCCUUCCUUCUACGCCAUUAACCAUGGUAUCU